rnacentral:rRNA from 1 species
UGCAAGUCGAGCGGACUUGAUGGAGUGCUUGCACUCCUGAUGGUUAGCGGCGGACGGGUGAGUAACACGUAGGCAACCUGCCCUCAAGACUGGGAUAACUACCGGAAACGGUAGCUAAUACCGGAUAAUUUAUUUCGCAGCAUUGUGGAAUAAUGAAAGACGGAGCAAUCUGUCACUUGGGGAUGGGCCUGCGGCGCAUUAGCUAGUUGGUGGGGUAAUGGCUCACCAAGGCGACGAUGCGUAGCCGACCUGAGAGGGUGAACGGCCACACUGGGACUGAGACACGGCCCAGACUCCUACGGGAGGCAGCAGUAGGGAAUCUUCCGCAAUGGGCGAAAGCCUGACGGAGCAACGCCGCGUGAGUGAUGAAGGUUUUCGGAUCGUAAAGCUCUGUUGCCAAGGAAGAACGUCUUCUAGAGUAACUGCUAGGAGAGUGACGGUACUUGAGAAGAAAGCCCCGGCUAACUACGUGCCAGCAGCCGCGGUAAUACGUAGGGGGCAAGCGUUGUCCGGAAUUAUUGGGCGUAAAGCGCGCGCAGGCGGUUCUUUAAGUCUGGUGUUUAAACCCGAGGCUCAACUUCGGGUCGCACUGGAAACUGGGGAACUUGAGUGCAGAAGAGGAGAGUGGAAUUCCACGUGUAGCGGUGAAAUGCGUAGAUAUGUGGAGGAACACCAGUGGCG